CUACUACCAGGACCCAGCCCAGGCUGUGGACAAGCAGCAGGACACUGGAGAAUUGAUUGCACUCCUUUUGCCUAUAUAAAAGUACUGGGAUUACACACUGGACCACCAUUCCCAGCAGUUUCCAGUUUUCAGAAGAGGCUUUCCUCCAAGAAUCUGGAGUUCGUGGAGGGCACUUCCAAGAGGCGUUGAGUUCUCACACUCUUACCAGUCGGUUCAAGGAAGAAAAAUAAAAGGAUAAAGUAUCCGAGCUGAGUUCGCUGAAGCUGAGAUGCACGAGACGUGCUUUCCCCCCACGGGCACCUGUCCACGAGUUUGCAGAGAGUGAGAAGAUUCCGGGAUUGGCCAGUCUCAUCCCAUGCUCAUGUCUACCCUUGGUGACCCUUUCCUUCUACGUUUAAUAAACAAA